rnacentral:rRNA from 1 species
GAUGAACGCUGGCGGCGUGCCUAACACAUGCAAGUCGAACGGAGUCAUUUUGGAAAGUUCUUCGGAACUGGAAUCUAUGACUUAGUGGCGAACGGGUGAGUAACGCGUGAGUAACCUGCCCUGGAGUGGGGGACAACAGUUGGAAACGACUGCUAAUACCGCAUAAGCCCACGGCCCGGCAUCGGGUUGAGGGAAAAGGAUUUAUUCGCUUCAGGAUGGACUCGCGUCCAAUUAGCUAGUUGGUGAGGUAACGGCCCACCAAGGCGACGAUUGGUAGCCGGACUGAGAGGUUGAACGGCCACAUUGGGACUGAGACACGGCCCAG